CCAAGCUGCCACAUCACCCUGCAACCCACUGAAAUCUAAGCAGGGGUGGGCCUGGCCAGUACCUGGAUGGGAGACCUCCUGGGAAAAACUAAGGCUGCUGCUGGAA
rnacentral:rRNA from 1 species